GACAUGGUUGUCAAUCUCCUUCCCUUCUAUGCACAGUUUUGCAGUCUGACCUGUCUCUGCUUUCCCAGGAGGCAGCCAGAGGGAUGCUGGUGCCUCCCUGACCAGGGCCAGGGAGAGGAGCAUCCACCUAUAGCCACACAAACGAAUGCAGAGCUGAGUGUGACAAAUGCCUUGUGGAGAAAAGAACUCAAGAGGCCAGUGGAGGAGGAGGACUGCCUUGAAAUUAGCCUGGGUUAUACGGAUAGUAUCAGGCCAACCUGAACUACUCCUGAUCAUCAAGUGUGUGCCACCAUGUUCAACUGAAUUUUGUUUUUGCUUUUGAGACAAGAUAUGUAGCCCAGGCUUGCCUAGAACUUACUGUGAAACCCAGUCUGGCUUUGUCUUUUAUGUAUUUUGGCGUUUUGUCUUCAUGGAUGUCUGCACACCACUACUGGGCAGUGGUGGCACACGCCUUUAAUCCCAGAACUCGGGAGGCAGAGGUGGGCAGAUCUCUGUGAGUUUGAGACCAGCCUAGUCUACAAAGCAAGUCCCAGGAAAGCCUGGCUGUUACACGGAGAAACCCUGUCUCAAAAAUAAGAACAAAACAAAAAAACAAGCAAACAAAAGAAGAGUGUAUUGGGUUCUAUGAGACAACAGUUAUAGAUGGUUGUGAGAGACCAUGUGGGUGCUGGGGAUUGAAAUCAGGACCUGUGGAAGAGUAUCCAGGGCUCUUAACCACAAAGACACCUCUUCAGCCCCCAGGCUGUCUUUGAACUCACAGUAACCCUCCUCCCUCAGCCUACUGAGUACUAGGACUAUAUGUGCUACCAGGCUUAUCUCAUAUUCUUUUAAUCGUUUAAUAAUGAGAAAUAAUAUAUUUAUAAUGAAAUCUAUUAAAUGUUAAAACAUACAGAAACUAUGAAAUAAAUCUCAAAUAUCUUUCAAGGAAC
ensembl:lincRNA